ACCAGCCACUGUCCACUGUUCACUUUCUUACUGCACAAUUCAGUGAACAGCAAAGGGAAAGGAGAAGGAAGAAAAGAAAGAAAGGAAGAAGGUUGCGCAUCUGGCUGUUGUACCUACUGCUUUAUCUGCAGAAUUAAGGAAAGAGUAAUAGGCUGGAGAAGCCAACACUACUUUGGCUAGCAGCAGUGGAAUGAUAGAAAUGGAAGAAUGACCCAACAUGCACUUGUGCAUUCUGUAAACAGUGUUGGAGGAAUCAGCAAGAAAAGUGGGACAUCAAGAAGAUAUUUUACCUUUAAUAAGGAUUGGUAAUGAUACAUGAUUGAACAGACUUAAAGGAGGACAAGUCUAGCUCAACUGGCUAGAGAGUUCUAGGCAUGAUAGGCAAGCCUAUCGAUUGGACAAAAUAGCCAGAAUUGAUUGAAAUGGGUCCCACUCUUUGAAUUUGACAUGUAGACCUAUUUCAGAGAGGUUUUACUUUGCUUAUCCACUAAUCAAUUCUUUGCCAAAGCUAGCAAAUGUUUCUUCUGUCUGACAUCUCUUGAAUACUUAGGGCACAUCAUUUCUAAGCAAGGAGUGCAACCUGAUCCAGUAAAAAUUUCAGUGAUGCUUGAAUGGCCCGAGCAUAAAAUCUGAAGCAACUGAGAGGGUUCUUGGGGCUUACUGGCUACUACAGGAAAUUCAUCAAACAACAUGCCAAUAUUGCUACUCCACUUACUGAAUUACUCAAGAAGGACUUAUUCAAGUGGACAUCAGCCACCCAACAUAGUUUUGAAGCACUUUAAGUUUGCCAUGACUUCAGCCCUAGUACUUGCCUUUCCCAAUUUUUUGAAGACAUUUAAAGUUGUGCAAUCACAUGAGAAACGCUUCUACUUAUGUUAGGGAACUGUAUGUCCUUACUCAGGCAAUCCAAAAAUGGCGACACUACUUGUUGGCAGGAAGUUUGUCAUUAGAACAUAUCACAAGAGCCUAAAGCAUCUUUUAACUCAGGUAGUUCAAAUGCCUGAGCAACACCAAUUUCUUAGCAAACUACUGGGAUUCACAUAAUCAAUCGUCUACAAGCCCGGAAAGGAGAAUGUAACUGCUGAUGCCCUCUCCAGAUUACCAAUAACCGAUCAAAUGACACUAUUUACUUCUGAUUCUAGCUUAGUUUCAAAUGCUACUGACUUGGAUGGUACUCUUCUAGUUUUGUCCUCGCCUCUCUUUAACAUUGUGGAGUUGAUUCAACAGGAAAAUGAUCAAGAUCCAGAGUUACGAACUCUGCAUAACCAAUGGCUAGCUGGUUCUCUUUCCCCUUUUGAAUAUAAGGUAGUGAAUAACAUUUUAUUUUUUCAAGGGAAGGUACAAAUUUGAGCUCUCAGUCGACCUUAAAAGAAAUUAUUUUGAAGGAAUUUCAUGAUUCCAUCUUAGGCGGUCACGUGAGUGUGGGGAGGACUUACAUACGAUUAGCGUCAACUUCUUUUGGCCUGCAAUGCAAGUGGAUGUGGCUACUUAUGUUAAACAGUGCCUGCAUUGCCAAAAAACUAAAUACGACACUACGAAACCAAAUGGAUUCAUUAUGCUGUUACCUAUCCAUACUAGCAUAUGGGAUGAUAUUUCCUUGGAUUUUGUUACAGGUCUACCAUUAUCGAAGGGAUUUACUGUGAUAUUGGUUGUUGUGGACAGAUUAUCAAAGUAUGGGCACUUUGGAUGCUUACCUACACACUUCACUACUAUAACAGUAGCAGAGCUUUUUACAAACAUGAUCAUCAAGCUUCAUGGAUUACCUAAAUCCAUUGUCUCUGAUAGAUAUCCAGUAUUCACCAGUAAAUUUUGGCAUCACAUAUUCAAUCUGAGUGGGACUACUUUGAAAAUGAGUCUAGCCUACCAUCCUCAAACUGAUGGGCAAACUGAGGUUCUAAAUAGAACACUGGAAUAAUAUCUCAGAUCUUUUACUCAGGACAAUCCCAAGAGAUGGACUACCCUUCUACCAUGGGCUGAACUAUGGUAUAACACAUCUUUUCACUCUGGUGCUGGUAUGACUCAAUUCAAGGCCCUAAAUGGCAGAGAUCCUUCUACCAUGGCUGAUUAUAUUGAUAGCAGUUGUAAUGUGGAAGCCAUUGAUCACGAAUUAGGAUCACGAACUGCACUUCUGGCUCAGCUUAAGGAGAACCUUUACAAAGCUCAAUUAUGAAUGCAAGUUCAAGCGAAUCAGCAUAGAAGAGAUGUUAAACUUCCCAUGUUGGGUCUUUGUCAAGUUACACCCACAUAGGCAACAAUGUCUGGCUGGAAGACUUCACAACAAACUUAGCAAAUGAUAUUAUGGACCUUACCAAAUCCUCCAUAAAAUUAGUUCAGUUGCUUACAAGUUGGAUUUGCCUCCCACGAGCAAAAUUCAACCUGUUUUUCACAUUUCCUUGCUCAAACCUUACCAUAGCCCUAUGCCCCUUGCACCUAUGUUACCAUUACCUGCUUUGUCUUGCCAGAACAAGCCUCUCAUCUCUCCUUUGGCCAUCCUAAACAGCAGAACCAUUUAUAAAUAGGGAGCCAUAAUCCCUCAGGUGUUAGUCCAAUGGGAUGGCCUGGCAGUUGAAGAUGCCUCUCGGGAAGCCUUAUCAGACAUGAAGGAGCUAUUGCCAAGUCUCAACCUUGAGGACAAGGUGUUUUUUGAAGGGGUGCAUGAUGAUAUACCAGCCACAGUCAAUUUGAAGAAGAGGCAGUAAGGCAACAGAUGGAAGAAUUGUUUGGAUCUGAUGAUACAGAAUAGAGUGAUGACAUAAUGGGAGAGCUAUUGCCAAGUGUCAACCUUGAGGACAAGGUGUUUUUUGAAGGGGUGCGUGAUGAUAUACCAGCCACAGUCAAUUUGAAGAAGAGGCAGUAAGGCAACAAAUGGAAGAAUUGGUUGGAUCUGAUGAUACAGAACAGAGUGAUGACAUAAUGGGAGAGCAUGUGCAUAAGAGAAGGGCCAGUAGGGUUAGGGGGAAGCCUACGUGGACAAAUGACUUUUUCCUCAGUCAUCUAGAAGGGGCUUAAAGGGAAUAAAGUCUGUUAAUGAGGUGAUACACUGCUGAGUGUAGUUGGAUUAGGUAAGGGGGAAUCGACUGAGAUUUAUAAAUACCAGACCACCCACUUGUAAAAAGGCAUUAAUAACAAAGUUUUGUUUUUCUGCA